rnacentral:rRNA from 1 species
UACGGAGGGUGCGAGCGUUGUCCGGAAUUACUGGGCGUAAAGCGCACGUAGGCGGACUCUUAAGUCAGGGGUGAAAUCCCCCGGCUUAACCUGGGAACUGCGUCUGAUACUGGGAGGCUUGAGUAUGGGAGAGGGAUGUAGAAUUCCAGGUGUAGCGGUGAAAUGCGUAGAUAUCUGGAGGAAUACCGGUGGCGAAGGCGGCAUCCUGGACCAUUACUGACGCUGAGGCGCGAAAGCUAGGGGAGCAAACGGG